CCCGUGUCCUCCCUCUGACUCCUUUUAGUUUAAUGUGAGACGACGGAUGAACUGUUUUUAAUGCGGUACUCCUGUUUCUACCCUCCAUUGUUCUUCUUCUUUCUCUCUUCUUGGAGACCUUUUUCUAUUUUAGUUCAGAGUGUUUUAAUUGUGUGUGUGUGCGUGCGUGCAUGUGUGUGUGUGCGUGCGCGUGUAUGUGUUCGGCCGGUUAACCAGAGUCUUGUAUCUGAAAGAGCCAUCACGUCAAACCAGCUUACAUUUACUUUAUCAGUGACGUCAUUUGGCCUCCUGGAGUGAAAUUCUGAUGCCAAGUUAAAAGAAAAGAAGCCAAAGUCUACAUCUGAACUCAAAUCUGUAGUUUCAUAACAGACUUUGGUGUUUAUAGGUUCAGAAGCUUCACACUUUUAAAAAUCACAAACCUCAUUGUGAACGCUGCAGAAUGUCUCCUGCUGACGGAGGCAACAAAAUUCUUGUUAAUGUUCUCUCUGAAUCUGCGCCCCUUUAUUGCAGAAUUAUUUCCUAAUGUAGAGAAUCAGCUCCACAGCGAUGGAGAUUCUAUGCAAAGGUUUUCAGUUCAGUUUCCACUCAGUGUGUGGACUCCAGGAUGAGCCACAGGAACUCAGAACGCUGUGGUGUCUGUUUGUGAUCUAAUCUUCUGCUAAUCAUUCCUCUCUGUGAGCCGUAGUGUCAGGAUGUUAGAUCUGUGUUUGACUCUCCUUCUGUGUGUGUGUGUGUGUGUGUGUGUGUUUUGUUUUUUCAGUAUUUUCUCAUUUGAUUGCAAGACCAUCGACUAAGUUAAACUUCAGCUCUUUGAACUGUGACGUUAAUGAGGACACCAUGAACGGUGCCGAAGUUCUUUUACCCCUAAACACACCAGCGAUUAGACGGGUCCCUGCAGAUUCAGGAGGGAUAGAAGCAUUUUUAACCCUGUGUGAACCAGAUCAGACUCCCACUUUUCCAAACGUCUGGCUCACAGAGGGUUAAACAGAUCAGGCGUCUUAUUCCCGUGGAGCUCCAGGAGUUUGUUUUAAUCGUCAGUAACUCUUUAUUCACUGUCCCUUUUUUUUUCUUUUUGACAGCAGAAAUAAUCUCCGUGUGUUUUCCACAUCAUCUCACGCACACCUUGACAUGCUUAGCCAAAUGAAAGCAUUUUCUUUCUUGUUUUUGCCAGAGCUGCAGAUAAACAUCUUUUCUGUGCCCCUGUUUAACGUGUAAAUGACCCCGUAUGGGAUGAAAUCUGAGCAUAACACUAAGAUGAUGAAAUACUGACAGUAACUGAUGUGUAGAUGUUGGAGAAGUCGUUACAACACACUACAUUUUGUGGGUUUUUGGUGUCACAGUCCCAUUUUAUGUCUCUAGUCCUCACUUCCUGUAACUACCAUGUUGUUAGGGAUGAAACACAUUCCAGUCAUGUUCAGUAGCUGUUUUUGUAGUUUUUUUUCUUUCCCUCUAACACUAGCUGGUCUUUUCUACUUCUUAACACUUUGUAAAUCAAUGUGAAGCGUGAAACCUUUUUAACAUUGAAGAUUACAGUCUUUACCAAGAGAGCUUCUAGAUUUUUAAAAAAAGGAACAUUUUUAAAAAGAACUCUACUUUCUGAAAAUGCUUUAAAAAGCUUUUUAUGAAGCCAUAAGCUGUUUGUCGACAGGCAGGUUUGAGGGGCUGCGCUACUCCAGGACAAACUCUGAUUCUGUAAUGAGACAAAAACAAGAGCAAUAAAGUAAAAUGCAGCAGAUAAACCGCUGCAGCAACAACAUGAAGCAGGCUGUCCAGCUUCUCAUGACUCAUGUUUGAUCAGAAGUCGUGUCUGAGCUGUAGAGGGUCGGGAUGUUUGGGCAGCUUUGUUUCCAGACAAAGCAGGAGCUGGUAAAAAUAACACAAGGGGAAAAUGAACGACUUCCUGUUAGCCUCAUGGUGUUGCUGUCAGUCACAACCUCUGGUCUGCAGGUCUGAUUGAAUCCUGCAGACUCUUACUGUGGUCAAUAAAUUAUUGUGAAGUAAUGAUGGGUUGUUUCAAGGAGAUUUGAAGUGGCACCAUUUUCUGUCAGUGAUCUGUUCUGGGAGCUGCAGUAAAUAAAAGGUUUGGGACAACAAAGACUGUUUCUGUCGGUUUAUUUUGUUCUCGUUGACGAUCCUCAAACAGGUCAGUUUACCGAUCAGGAUAAGAUCCAAUCAGCCUGAUUUUAAAAG
ensembl:lncRNA